rnacentral:rRNA from 1 species
AGUGCUAAGUGUUGGAGGGUUUCCGCCCUUCAGUGCUGCAGCAAACGCAUUAAGCACUCCGCCUGGGGAGUACGACCGCAAGGUUGAAACUCAAAGGAAUUGACGGGGGCCCGCACAAGCGGUGGAGCAUGUGGUUUAAUUCGAAGCAACGCGAAGAACCUUACCAGGUCUUGACAUCCUUUGACCACUCUAGAGAUAGAGCUUUCCCUUCGGGGACAAAGUGACAGGUGGUGCAUGGUUGUCGUCAGCUCGUGUCGUGAGAUGUUGGGUUAAGUCCCGCAACGAGCGCAACCCUUAUUGUUAGUUGCCAUCAUUUAGUUGGGCACUCUAGCGAGACUGCCGGUGACAAACCGGAGGAAGGUGGGGAUGACGUCAAAUCAUCAUGCCCCUUAUGACCUGGGCUACACACGUGCUACAAUGGGAAGUACAACGAGUCGCUAGACCGCGAGGUCAUGCAAAUCUCUUAAAGCUUCUCUCAGUUCGGAUUGCAGGCUGCAACUCGCCUGCAUGA